UACGUAGGGGGGCGAGCGUUGUCCGGAUUUAUUGGGCGUAAAACGCUUGUAGGUGGCUACGUCAAGUCGGACGUGAAAAUCUCCCGGCUUAACUGGGAGGGGUCGCUCGAUACUGGCGAGCUCGAGGCAGGUAGGGGGGAAGCGGAAUUCCCGGUGUAGUGGUGGAAUGCGUAGAUAUCGGGAGGAACACCAGUGGCGAAGGCGGCUUCCUGGACCUGUUCUGACA
rnacentral:rRNA from 1 species